UACAGAGGGGGCAAGCGUUGUUCGGAAUUACUGGGCGUAAAGGGCGCGUAGGCGGUUCGCUAAGUUGGAUGUGAAAACUCUGGGCUCAACCCAGAGCCUGCAUCCAAAACUGGCGGGCUAGAGUUCUGGAGGGGAUAGCGGAAUUCCUGGUGUAGCGGUGAAAUGCGUAGAUAUCAGGAGGAACACCGGUGGCGAAGGCGGCUAUCUGGACAGAGUCUGACGCUGAGGCGCGAAAGCUAGGGGAGCAAACAGG
rnacentral:rRNA from 1 species